UACGGAGGAUGCAAGCGUUAUCCGGAAUGAUUGGGCGUAAAGCGUCCGCAGGUGGCAGUUCAAGUCUGCUGUCAAAGACCGGGGCUUAACUUCGGAAAGGCAGUGGAAACUGAACAGCUAGAGUAUGGUAGGGGCAGAGGGAAUUCCUGGUGUAGCGGUGAAAUGCGUAGAGAUCAGGAAGAACAUCGGUGGCGAAGGCGCUCUGCUGGACCAUAACUGACACUCAGGGACGAAAGCUAGGGGAGCGAAUGGG
rnacentral:rRNA from 1 species